AGCUUCGUGGUGUAUAACAUAUCGGAUUGCAAAUCCGAGGAUGCAGACUAAUAUUCUGCCGGGGCUU
rnacentral:tRNA from 1 species